GACGAACGCUGGCGGCGUGCUUAACACAUGCAAGUCGAACGGAAAGGCCCUGCUUUUGUGGGGUGCUCAAGUGGCGAACGGGUGAGUAACACGUGAGUAACCUGCCCUUGACUUUGGGAUAACUUCAGGAAACUGGGGCUAAUACCGGAUAGGAGCUCCUGCUGCAUGGUGGGGGUUGGAAAGUUUCGGCGGUUGGGGAUGGACUCGCGGCUUAUCAGCUUGUUGGUGGGGUAGUGGCUUACCAAGGCUUUGACGGGUAGCCGGCCUGAGAGGGUGACCGGCCACAUUGGGACUGAGGUACGGCCCAGACUCCUACGGGAGGCAGCAGUGGGGAAUAUUGCACGAUGGGCGGAGGCCUAGUGAAGCAACGCCGCGGGCGGGAUGACGGCCUUCGGGUUGUAAACCGCUUUCGCCUGUGACGAAGCGUGAGUGACGGUAAUGGGUACAGAAGCACCGGCUAACUACGUG
rnacentral:rRNA from 1 species